rnacentral:rRNA from 1 species
UACCAGCACCCCGAGUGGUCGGGACGAUUAUUGGGCCUAAAGCAUCCGUAGCCGGUUCUGCAAGUCCCCCGUUAAAUCCAGCUGCUCGACAGAUGGGCCGCGGAGGAUACUACAGAGCUAGGAGGCAGGAGAGGCAAGCGGUACUCAGUGGGUAGGGGUAAAAUCCGUUGAUCCAUUGAAGACCACCAGUGGCGAAGGCGGCUUGCCAGAAUGCGCUCGACGGUGAGGGAUGAAAGCUGGGGGAGCAAACCGG